rnacentral:rRNA from 1 species
UACGUAGGGUGCAAGCGUUGUCCGGAAUUAUUGGGCGUAAAGAGCUCGUAGGCGGUCUGUCACGUCGGCUGUGAAAACCCGAGGCUCAACCUCGGGCCUGCAGUCGAUACGGGCAAACUAGAGUACUGCAGGGGAGACUGGAAUUCCUGGUGUAGCGGCGAAAUGCGCAGAUAUCAGGAGGAACACCGGUGGCGAAGGCGGGUCUCUGGGCAGUAACUGACGCUGAGGAGCGAAAGCGUGGGGAGCGAACAGG